rnacentral:rRNA from 1 species
UAACCUGCCCAAGAGACUGGGAUAACACCUGGAAACAGAUGCUAAUACCGGAUAACAACACUAGACGCAUGUCUAGAGUUUAAAAGAUGGUUCUUGCUAUCACUCUUGGAUGGACCUGCGGUGCAUUAGCUAGUUGGUAAGGUAACGGCUUACCAAGGCAAUGAUGCAUAGCCGAGUUGAGAGACUGAUCGGCCACAUUGGGACUGAGACACGGCCCAAACUCCUACGGGAGGCAGCAGCG